rnacentral:rRNA from 1 species
UACGGAGGGUGCAAGCGUUAUCCGGAUUUACUGGGUUUAAAGGGUGCGCAGGCGGAUAUGUAAGUCAGUGGUGAAAUCUCUAGGCUUAACCUGGAAAUUGCCGUUGAUACUAUAUAUCUUGAAUGCUGUGGAGGUAAGCGGAAUAUGACAUGUAGCGGUGAAAUGCUUAGAUAUGACAUAGAACACCUAUUGCGAAGGCAGCUUACUACGCAGAUAUUGACGCUCAUGCACGAAAGCGUGGGGAUCAAACAGG